rnacentral:rRNA from 1 species
GGCCAGACUCCUACGGGAGGCAGCAGUGGGGAAUAUUGCACAAUGGGCGAAAGCCUGAUGCAGCAACGCCGCGUGAAGGAAGAAGGGUUUCGGCUCGUAAACUUCUAUCAACAGGGACGAAAGAAAUGACGGUACCUGAAUAAGAAGCCCCGGCUAACUACGUGCCAGCAGCCGCGGGAAUACGUAGGGGGCAAGCGUUAUCCGGAAUUACUGGGGGUAAAGGGAGCGUAGACGGUGAUGCAAGUCUGGAGUGAAAGGCGGGGGCCCAACCCCCGGACUGCUCUGGAAACUGUAUGACUUGAGUGCAGGAGAGGUAAGCGGAAUUCCUAGUGUAGCGGUGAAAUGCGUAGAUAUUAGGAGGAACACCAGUGGCGAAGGCGGCCUACUGGACGGUGACUGACGCUGAGGCUCGAAAGCGUGGGGAGCAAACAGGAUUAGAUACCCCCGUAAU